CUCUCAAUCAUCACUUCUGAUUUCAAAUACUAAUGUAAUUCAAAUUCUCAGGGAGCUAUGCUUACCUAAUACUGAAAGAUACGUUGACCGACUCGGAGAAAUGUGAUUUACAGGACAUUGCUUACAUUCCGAAAGUUGCUGCGGGACCUGUUUUACCCAAUAAGUCGGAAUUUAGAGAACUGGUUAAGAUUGCACUUCGAAGGAUCUCCGAGACAGGAUUGCUAUCAUACUACAACGACAUCUUUUAUGGCACUCGGCCGAAAUGUGAAAUUUCAGAAGUUAUUGUUACUCCGGUGGAUAUUAUUCACUUCUCGACGGC